UCCAGGGUAGCCUGGUGAGCAUGGCAUCUGCCCGGUAGGCGGAAGGUCGUGGGUUCGUUUCCCAUCCCUGGAC